rnacentral:rRNA from 1 species
AAUCAACGCUGGCGGCGUGCCUAACACAUGCAAGUUGAACGCGAAAGGGGCUUUGGCCCUGAGUAGAGUGGCGAACGGGUGAGUAACACGUGGGUGAUUUACCUUCGAGUGGGGGAUAACGUUCCGAAAGGAACGCUAAUACCGCAUGACGUUUUGGGUUUGAAGACCUGGAAACCAAAGCUGGGGACCGCAAGGCCUGGCGCUAGAAGAGGAGCCCGCGCCUGAUUAGCUAGUUGGCGGGGUAACGGCCCACCAAGGCGACGAUCAGUAGCCGGCCUGAGAGGGCGGACGGCCCCACUGGGACUGAGACACGGCCCAGACUCCUACGGGAGGCAGCAGUGGGGAAUUGUUUGCAAUGGGCGCAAGCCUGACGACGCAACGCCGCGUGGAGGAUGAAGGUUUUUGGAUUGUAAACUCCUGUUGAUCGGGACGAACGGGCUCCAGCCCAAUACGCUGGAGCAAUGACGGUACCGAUUGAGGAAGCCCCGGCUAACUUUGUG